rnacentral:rRNA from 1 species
AGUGAACGCUGGCGGUAGGCCUAACACAUGCAAGUCGGACGGCAGCACAGUAAGAGCUUGCUCUUACGGGUGGCGAGUGGCGGACGGGUGAGGAAUACAUCGGAAUCUACUUUUUCGUGGGGGAUAACGUAGGGAAACUUACGCUAAUACCGCAUACGACCUACGGGGGAAAGCAGGGGAUCUUCGGACCUUGCGCGAUUGAAUGAGCCGAUGUCGGAUUAGCUAGUUGGCGGGCUAAUGGCCCACCAAGGCGACGAUCCGUAGCUGGUCUGAGAGGAUGAUCGGCCACACUGGAACUGAGACACGGUCCAGACUCCUACGGGAGGCAGCAGUGGGGAAUAUUGGACAAUGGGCGCAAGCCUGAUCCAGCCAUACCGCGUGGGUGAAGAAGGCCUUCGGGUUGUAAAGCCCUUUUGUUGGGAAAGAAAAGCAGCAGGUUAAUACCCCGCUGUUCUGACGGUACCCAAAGAAUAAGCACCGGCUAACUUCGUG